rnacentral:misc_RNA from 1 species
UUUCCGUAGGCGAACCUGCGGAAGGAUCAUUAUUGUAUAACCGAGGUGCGAGGGCUGUCGCUGACCCGAAAGGUCGUGCACGCCCGAGUGCCCUCACCCACAUCCAUCUCACCCCUAUGUGCACCACCGCGUGGGUCCCCCUUUGGCUUGUUCGGAGGGGGGCUUACGUUUUCACACAAACUUUGUAUGCAGUGUAGAAUGUAUUUUUUGUUUUUGCGAUCACGCAAUCAAUACAACUUUCAACAACGGAUCUCUUGGCUCUC